rnacentral:rRNA from 1 species
GACGAACGCUGGCGGCGUGCUUAACACAUGCAAGUCGAACGCUGAAGCUUGGUGCUUGCUCUUGUUGGAUUAGUGGCGAACGGGUGAGUAAUACGUGAGUAACCUGCCCUUGACUCUGGGAUAAGCCUGGGAAACUGGGUCUAAUACUGGAUAUUACAUUCCACUGCAUGGUUGUGUGUUGAAAGGGGUUUACUGGUUUUGGAUGGGCUCAAGGCCUAUCAGCUUGUUGGUUUGGUAAUGUCCUACCAAGGCGACGACGGGUAGCCGGCCUGAGAGGGUGGCCGGGCACAAUGGGCCUGCGACACGGCCCAGAAUCCUACGGGAGGCAGCAGUGGGGAAUCUUGCACAAUGGGCGGAAGUCUGAUGCAGCGACGUUGCGUGAGGGAUGACGGCCUUCGGGUUGUAAACAUCUUUCAGAAUGGAAGAAGAGAGAGUGACGGUACGUGCAGAAGAAGCGACGGCUAACUACGUG